rnacentral:rRNA from 1 species
UACGUAGGGUGCAAGCGUUAAUCGGAAUUACUGGGCGUAAAGCGUGCGCAGGCGGUUAUAUAAGUCAGAUGUGAAAUCCCCGGGCUCAACCUGGGAGUGGCAUUUGAGACUGUAUAGCUAGAGUGUGUCAGAGGGGGGUAGAAUGCCACGUGUAGCAGUGAAAUGCGUAGAGAUGUGGAGGAACACCGAUGGCGAAGGCAGCCCCCUGGGAUAACACUGACGCUCAUGCACGAAAGCGUGGGGAGCAAACAGG